rnacentral:lncRNA from 1 species
AUGCUCUUCCCUGACUCCCUGAAACCUUCUCGCUCUUUGCUCUUGCUGGCACUGUGGCUUUCUGUGCCAUGGUCCCGUGUCACUUCUGUCCCCUGCUCAAAUCCUGUGCUCAGUCGCCUCAACCUUCACCUCCAUCUUUUCCUAGAUCCUGCCUCUGGCAGGGCUCCCUGCACUGCUGCUCCCUGCUUCACUUGGCCUUGUAUCCGAGUGCAUUGGCCAUGGCCUCCUCCCAUCAGUGUCUGCAGCUGGGGCUUCCUUGAGGGAGAGGAGCUGGUCUUCGGCAUCAUCUCAAAGGCAGCACGUGUGAAUUCCUGUUGGCAUCCUCAGGGCCCACCUCAGCCUUGCACAUCCUUGGUGGCGUUUUGGAAAAAUGGCACCAGGCCCCAAGAAGCUCAAAGAACCACAGAAAUUCCUUCCCUCCCAGUGAGACUGAGUACUGUCACCGCCUUGGCCAAGCUGAGGACUGGCACCAGGCUGUCGGCGCUGAAAAGGCCCCAACUCAAACACCAAGAAAUGAAUGCAGAUGCUCGUGCUGGCAUGACCUGCGAUGGGAUACGCACUGUCCAAAAACAGGCAAAGCAAAAUUAAUCAUAGCCAGAAAACGAAGCGAACAAAGAGUUCAUCUCAACAGAACGAACUUGAUGAAUUAAUGAUGACUGAGACUUAUUUUCUUUCGACGAGACCUUUAAUGAUCACAGAUGGACUCUGAUGAGCUGUGACUGGGAACAGGGAACUAAGAUCAUGCCAAGCCAGGGAGAGAGCGUUAGUGAACCCAAGGCAGAAAUGCCAGUGUUUUCUCUAUGCCUGUCCGACUGGGAGAAUCACAGUGGCUGAACUUCAAGUUGAACCCAGUCUCCUGUUUGCCACGAGGGGCAACCUU